rnacentral:rRNA from 1 species
GGGUUGUGAGGUUAAGCGACUAAGCGUACACGGUGGAUGCCCUGGCAGUCAGAGGCGAUGAAGGACGUGCUAAUCUGCGAUAAGCGCCGGUAAGGUGAUAUGAACCGUUAUAACCGGCGAUUUCCGAAUGGGGAAACCCAGUGUGACUCGUCACACUAUCAUUAACUGAAUCCAUAGGUUAAUGAGGCGAACCGGGGGAACUGAAACAUCUAAGUACCCCGAGGAAAAGAAAUCAACCGAGAUUCCCCCAGUAGCGGCGAGCGAACGGGGAGGAGCCCAGAGCCUGAAUCAGCAUGUGUGUUAGUGGAAGCGUCUGGAAAGGCGCGCGAUACAGGGUGACAGCCCCGUACACAAAAGCGCAUGUGCUGUGAGCUCGAUGAGUAGGGCGGGACACGUGGUAUCCUGUCUGAAUAUGGGGGGACCAUCCUCCAAGGCUAAAUACUCCUGACUGACCGAUAGUGAACCAGUACCGUGAGGGAAAGGCGAAAAGAACCCCGGCGAGGGGAGUGAAAAAGAACCUGAAACCGUGUACGUACAAGCAGUGGGAGCACAGGUUUACCUGUGUGACUGCGUACCUUUUGUAUAAUGGGUCAGCGACUUAUAUUCUGUAGCAAGGUUAACCGAAUAGGGGAGCCGGAGGGAAACCGAGUCUUAAUUGGGCGUUAAGUUGCAGGGUAUAGACCCGAAACCCGGUGAUCUAGCCAUGGGCAGGUUGAAGGUUGGGUAACACUAACUGGAGGACCGAACCGACUAAUGUUGAAAAAUUAGCGGAUGACCUGUGGCUGGGGGUGAAAGGCCAAUCAAACCGGGAGAUAGCUGGUUCUCCCCGAAAGCUAUUUAGGUAGCGCCUCGUGAAUUCAUCUCCGGGGGUAGAGCACUGUUUCGGCUAGGGGGCCAUCCCGGCUUACCAACCCGAUGCAAACUGCGAAUACCGGAGAAUGUUAUCACGGGAGACACACGGCGGGUGCUAACGUCCGUCGUGAAGAGGGAAACAACCCAGACCGCCAGCUAAGGUCCCAAAGUCAUGGUUAAGUGGGAAACGAUGUGGGAAGGCCCAGACAGCCAGGAUGUUGGCUUAGAAGCAGCCAUCAUUUAAAGAAAGCGUAAUAGCUCACUGGUCGAGUCGGCCUGCGCGGAAGAUGUAACGGGGCUAAACCAUGCACCGAAGCUGCGGCAGCGAACGUAUCACCCAAGACAACUUUACGGAGUUGACGAUUGACGGAGCGAAGCGACGUCAAAGCGUUCAUUAAAGUCGAGUUGGCUUAGGGAUACGUUCGUUGGGUAGGGGAGCGUUCUGUAAGCCUGUGAAGGUGUGUCGUGAGGCAUGCUGGAGGUAUCAGAAGUGCGAAUGCUGACAUAAGUAACGAUAAAGCGGGUGAAAAGCCCGCUCGCCGGAAGACCAAGGGUUCCUGUCCAACGUUAAUCGGGGCAGGGUGAGUCGACCCCUAAGGCGAGGCCGAAAGGCGUAGUCGAUGGGAAACGGGUUAAUAUUCCCGUACUUGGUGUUACUGCGAAGGGGGGACGGAGAAGGCUAUGUUGGCCGGGCGACGGUUGUCCCGGUUUAAGCGUGUAGGUGUGUGUUCCAGGUAAA